rnacentral:rRNA from 1 species
UACGGGGGGGGCAAGCGUUGUUCGGAAUUACUGGGCGUAAAGGGCUUGUAGGCGGCCAACUAAGUCAGACGUGAAAUCCCUCGGCUUAACCGGGGAACUGCGUCUGAUACUGGAUGGCUUGAGUUCGGGAGAGGGAUGCGGAAUUCCAGGUGUAGCGGUGAAAUGCGUAGAUAUCUGGAGGAACACCGGUGGCGAAGGCGGCAUCCUGGACCGAUACUGACGCUGAGGAGCGAAAGCCAGGGGAGCAAACGGG